AGAUAUUGUUUUACACCGUUUAGUGAGAGGGUGAUACAUCAACGUUAUGAUAUACUUACUAUAGACUUAUAUACAGUUGAUUAAAGUCACUUGUAACUUACAUUCCCUCCAUCAAGCCCGUCUCUCCUACUCAGUCUCUCUCUCUCUCUCUCUCUCUCUCUCUCUCUCUCUCUCUCUCUCUCUCUCUCUCUCUAUUCAAGCGUUUCUCUUAGCAAGCUCUCUCUCCUCAAGCCUGAAUCUUUCUCUCUCCUCAAUCUCCUAUCUCUCUCAAUCCUCAAGCCCGUCACUUUCUAAUUGUUGGCACCAUUGAAGCAACAAACUGUAACUUUCGUUGCUCACAUGGAUUCUCGAAAUACUUUAGAUAUGAGCCUUUCCCAGAUGUUAUUGCAUGUUGUUGAUCACAAUUUGGAUGCUAAAUUAGGUGCAUCAGGUUGGUGGUGUUGAAGAUGUUUCGCCUAAUGCGCGGCUUAGGAUCCUCAUCUUUGUUAUUGAUUUUCAAAAGAUGUAAUUAUCCACUCAAAGUCAUAAUUAAAGUUGAAUGUGUCGAACUUUCUCUGUA